rfam:Dipodomys ordii contig_1632, whole genome shotgun sequence.
UACAGACUUAAGGGUCCAUAAAUAUCUGCCAAGCAACAAGCAUUUAAUCUACCAAUCAAGACAAAAUACAGCUUAGGAGAAAAGAAAAAUGUCCUAUACAUUUCAAUCAAUGGAGUGUGCCCCCAAAACCAUGGGUGUGGAUAUGCAUGUGAGUGUUCAGAGCUCUGGCUG